CUACUUUUUAUUCGCUAUAUCCUAUCAUUCAGUGCACCAAAUGUUUGUCUACAUCACUGAAUUGAGGUUGUGUUUGGCGUGUGGAUUCAUGAGUACAUAUCAUGAAUAUAUUAUCAGUUGAACGUUGACCUUUUUAGAUCAAAUCAUGCUAAUCUGCAGUCUAUUCAUUGGGUUUCUUGCUUAUUAGGAUCUCCAACGGGCACAAACAAAUUUGCCAGCAACAGUUAAACCAAAACAAACAGAACUGUCUUUCCAGGGGUCAGCAAAAUGAAUGUCCUCUUGGAAACCUUUGUUCAUUGUAAUGUCCAUCUAUUACUACAUGGAGGCAUUUGUCAGACCGUUCAUCUGACUCGAGAAGAAAAAUGUCACUGGGGAAAUCGUCCUUAUCACAGGGGUUGGCAUUGGCUGGCUCAUGGCAGAGAAGUUUGCCCCCCCAACCAUGAGGGCAUGAAGGAGACUGCAAGACUAGUGAAGGGGAAAGGGGCAACUAGGGUCCACUACUACCUGUGUGACUGCAGUGACAAGGCGAAGGUCUACAGAUUGGCUGACCAGUAAACUGUCUGUCAAAGCAAACUGAUGUUUGGAAAUCUAUUGUGCUGGAGGCAUGUUGAAGGAAUGGGAAACGAGGGAGUAGCUGGUUACCAAAUGUCCAGUGUUGCUGAGAACGUCAAGAGAGAGGUGGGGGAUGUGAGCAUUCUCAUAAACAACGCUGGCAUCGUCACAGGCAGGAAUUUCAUGGACGCGCCAGACUCCCUCAUUGAGAAAACCAUUGAAGUAAACACCAUGGCUCACUUGGACUUAUAAAGCCUUCCUCCCAGCGAUGACUGUCAACAACCAUGGUCACCUGGUCAGUGUUGCUAGCACAGCGGGUCUGAUUGGUGUCAAUGGACUAGCAGAUUACUGUUUCCAGCAAGUUUGCUGCUAUUGGCUUUGCUGAGUCUGUGGCUCUGGAGCUGCUGGCAACGGGGAAGGAUGGUGUCAAGACUACCAUUGUGUGUCCACACUUCAUGAACACUGGCAUGUUCGAUGGCUGCAAUUCUAAUUCCUUGAGGUGGAAGCAGACUGCUCUCCUGGGGAAGUACCUGGGUUGCCUUCGAGAACACAGAGCACUAUGAGACAACAUGCCUUAAGCUGCGUCGGUCCCUUGCACGCUGCUUGGCCCACGUUUAACCGAUGGCCAUUGCCAACACACAACUCGGACUGUGAAUUGUGCUUUCUGUUCCAUUCGAAGCCAUUCGAUAUGAGCAUCAGCGUCAUUGGCUACUGAUAGCUAAGUGUAGAUUUGUGGUUUUAACAGCUGUCUGCAUUUCACACUGUUUGAAGACUCCAAGGGGAUAUUUCUUAUUAUAACAUAAUUUUCCAACAUUUGGAUAAUGGCUCUAGGUAAAUUGUCUGCAUUCAAUUUUCACCAGAUGGGCAAUGGGAGGUAUCAGGGAAUUCCAUCUGCAUAGUGUUGGUGCAUCAUCAUUGGUACAAAAGUUAGAUUCUGUCACUUUUACUUAUUUAUUUGUGAUAAACAGACGUCACCCAAAGCCCUGCUGAAGGAUUUUACAUGUGCAUUGAUGGAUUUCCAUAACGAUAUUUUAGGGAACUAGUGAGUGAAGGAGUUGAUUAUUCCCCAAUAUUUUUUUACUACUGCAUUACAAAAAUAUGUCAAAGCUGUUUGAAUGUGCCUAAUGCCACUGUAAAAUGAAAUGCAUUAUUGUGCAUAAAUGAAAAACUAGAUGCAGUUUUGGGGUUGUGGUGGAUGAGUAUGUUGAACUUUUUACAUGGCCAUAAUUCUGAAUCCCCUUGGGAUAUGUGAAUACUCGAAAAAUUAUAAUAAAUAUUUUGUACGUUUUUGUCAUCUGAUAGUCUGCGAUCAUUCAGCAAACCAAUGUCAUACCCAGUGCAAACCUAGUCGGUGCUAAUACAGUAGUUACUGGGGUGUAUUCAGUUUCUUUUAACUAUCUGAUGCACAACUGGUAUGAUUCUCAUUCUAUGGCCAUAUGUUAUUAUCUACACACAUCUACAUUUUUAUCUAAACUUCCUGUAACAUUGUACCCUCCUGAACAAGCCCCUGGCGAUGGGGGAACAGUUUUUGCUGUAAGAGCUGGGCCAUUUGGGUACUGACACUCAGCUUGACCUCUCUACAACCUAAUCAGAUGGCUACUGGGAACAAAAGUCCUCAAGUCAUUGGCUUAAUUGGCAUAUUUUGCAUAUUCAACAACUUACAAAAGAAUUUAAGCUGAAGUUGGGAUUUUAAUUUAGAAAUAAGGCCUGUUUUUCAUUUGAAGCCAGGAGGCUAGUAUCAGCAACAUUUUAUAUAUGAAUGCUUCUGCUCAGUGUUUGAGAUCAAUUGACACGCUUUACCAUGGAGCAUUGAGAUGUAUUUUAAACUGCAAAACUCUUACCGCACCACUGCACUUCAUAUACAAGGGUUGGCUGGCCUUCUCUAGUCAAUCGUAGGCUCAGUCACUGGAAUCAUUUAUUUAUAAAGCCAUUUUGGGUUAACUACCAUUUUAUUUGGGCAUUUUUAUUGUUCAGAAAUGUGGUGGGUACUCGCUUCGUUCGGCAGGAGUUUAUCCUGCUAACUGUUCCAAAUGUCCAAACUGAAUUGAGUAAAAUGGCUUUUAUGUACUCUGCACCAUCGGCUUGGAACGCCUUACAAAAUACUUUUAAACUGGAAGAACUUGUCCCGAUUGGUGUUUUUAAAUCUGACAUAACAGUCCCUGCCUGAUAUGUCAAUGUUUUUAAUUAGCUGUUUUAUGAUUUUGUUAUACUCUUGUGAAUUCUAUGUUUUUUUCAAUAGAUUACCUGUAGUUUUUCAUGUUGUCUGUCUGUAAUUGUGUAAUGACUUGGUGCUGCCUAUCUGGGACAGGACUCUC